rnacentral:rRNA from 1 species
GCAUAUCAAUAAGCGGAGGAAAAGAAACCAACCGGGAUUGCCUCAGUAACGGCGAGUGAAGCGGCAAGAGCUCAAAUUUGAAAUCUGGCCCCUUUGGGGUCCGAGUUGUAAUUUGCAGAGGAUGCUUCGGGUGCGGUCCCCGUCUAAGUGCCCUGGAACGGGCCGUCAUAGAGGGUGAGAAUCCCGUCUGGGAUGGGCGGCCGCGCCCGUGUGAAGCUCCUUCGACGAGUCGAGUUGUUUGGGAAUGCAGCUCUAAGCGGGUGGUAAAUUUCAUCUAAAGCUAAAUACUGGCCGGAGACCGAUAGCGCACAAGUAGAGUGAUCGAAAGAUGAAAAGCACUUUGAAAAGAGAGUUAAACAGCACGUGAAAUUGUUGAAAGGGAAGCGUUGUCCACCAGACUCGCCCGGGGGGGUUCAGCCGGCACGUGUGCCGGUGUACUCCUCUCCGGGCGGGCCAGCAUCGGUUUGGGCGGCUGGUGAAAGGCCCCGGGAAUGUAACACCCUUCGGGGUGCCUUAUAGCCCGGGGUGCCAUACAGCCAGCCUGGACCGAGGCCCGCGCUUCGGCGAGGAUGCUGGCGUAAUGGUGGUCAACGGCCCGUCUUGAAACACGGACCAAGGAGUCUAACAUCUAUGCGAGUGUUCGGGUGUCAAACCCGUCCGCGCAGUGAAAGCGAACGGAGGUGGGAGCCCCUCGGGGCGCACCAUCGACCGAUCCUGAUGUCUUCGGAUGGAUUUGAGUAAGAGCAUAGCUGUUGGGACCCGAAAGAUGGUGAACUAUGCCUGAAUAGGGCGAAGCCAGAGGAAACUCUGGUGGAGGCUCGCAGCGGUUCUGACGUGCAAAUCGAUCGUCAAAUUUGGGUAUAGGGGCGAAAGACUAAUCGAACCAUCUGGUAGCUGGUUCCUGCCGA